rnacentral:rRNA from 1 species
GACGAACGCUGGCGGCGUGCUUAACACAUGCAAGUCGAACGGAAAGGCCCUGCUUUUGUGGGGUGCUCGAGUGGCGAACGGGUGAGUAACACGUGAGUAACCUGCCCUUGACUUUGGGAUAACUUCAGGAAACUGGGGCUAAUACCGGAUAGGAGCUCCUGCUGCAUGGUGGGGGUUGGAAAGUUUCGGCGGUUGGGGAUGGACUCGCGGCUUAUCAGCUUGUUGGUGGGGUAGUGGCUCACCAAGGCUUUGACGGGUAGCCGGCCUGAGAGGGUGACCGGCCACAUUGGGACUGAGAUACGGCCCAGGCUCCUACGGGAGGCAGCAGUGGGGAAUAUUGCACAAUGGGCGGAAGCCUGAUGCAGCAACGCCGCGUGCGGGAUGACGGCCUUCGGGUUGUAAACCGCUUUCGCCUGUGACGAAGCGUGAGUGACGGUAAUGGGUAAAGAAGCACCGGCUAACUACGUG